rnacentral:rRNA from 1 species
CAGUAGCCACGGUAAUACGAAGGGGGCUAGCGUCGUUCGGAAUUACUGGGCGUAAAGCGCACGUAGGCGGAUCGAUCAGUCAGGGGUGAAAUCCCAGGGCUCAACCCUGGAACUGCCUUUGAUACUGUCGAUCUGGAGUAUGGAAGAGGUGAGUGGAAUUCCGAGUGUAGAGGUGAAAUUCGUAGAUAUUCGGAGGAACACCAGUGGCGAAGGCGGCUCACUGGUCCAUUACUGACGCUGAGGUGCGAAAGCGUGGGGAGCAAACAGGAUUAGAUACCCCAGUAGUCCCUGUCUCUUAUAC